rnacentral:rRNA from 1 species
UUGAAUGGCAUCAUUCGAUAUUGAAAACUCCGGUGGAUAGAGAUGGGCACGCGCAAGAUUAGAUAGUUGGUGAGGUAACGGCUCACCAAGUCUGCGAUCUUUAGGGGGCCUGAGAGGGUGAUCCCCCACACUGGUACUGAGACACGGACCAGACUCCUACGGGAGGCAGCAGUGAGGAAUAUUGGACAAUGGGUGAGAGCCUGAUCCAGCCAUCCCGCGUGAAGGACGACGGCCCUAUGGGUUGUAAACUUCUUUUGUAUAGGGAUAAACCUACUCUCGUGAGAGUAGCUGAAGGUACUAUACGAAUAAGCACCGGCUAACUCCGUGCCAGCAGCCGCGGUAAUACGGAGGGUGCAAGCGUUAUCCGGAUUUAUUGGGUUUAAAGGGUCCGUAGGCGGAUCUGUAAGUCAGUGGUGAAAUCUCACAGCUUAACUGUGAAACUGCCAUUGAUACUGCAGGUCUUGAGUGUUGUUGAAGUAGCUGGAAUAAGUAGUGUAGCGGUGAAAUGCAUAGAUAUUACUUAGAACACCAAUUGCGAAGGCAGGUUACUAAGCAACAACUGACGCUGAUGGACGAAAGCGUGGGGAGCGAACAGGAUUAGAUACCCUGGUAGUCCACGCCGUAAACGAUGCUAACUCGUUUUUGGUAUUUCGGUAUCAGAGACUAAGCGAAAGUGAUAAGUUAGCCACCUGGGGAGUACGAACGCAAGUUUGAAACUCAAAGGAAUUGACGGGGGCCCGCACAAGCGGUGGAUUAUGUGGUUUAAUUCGAUGAUACGCGAGGAACCUUACCAAGGCUUAAAUGGGAAAUGACAGGUUUAGAAAUAGACUUUUCUUCGGACAUUUUUCAAGGUGCUGCAUGGUUGUCGUCAGCUCGUGCCGUGAGGUGUUAGGUUAAGUCCUGCAACGAGCGCAACCCCUGUCACUAGUUGCCAUCAUUAAGUUGGGGACUCUAGUGAGACUGCCUACGCAAGUAGAGAGGAAGGUGGGGAUGACGUCAAAUCAUCACGGCCCUUACGCCUUGGGCCACACACGUAAUACAAUGGCCGGUACAGAGGGCAGCUACACAGCGAUGUGAUGCAAAUCUCGAAAGCCGGUCUCAGUUCGGAUUGGAGUCUGCAACUCGACUCUAUGAAGCUGGAAUCGCUAGUAAUCGCGCAUCAGCCAUGGCGCGGUGAAUACGUUCCCGGGCCUUGUACACACCGCCCGUCAAGCCAUGGAAGUCUGGGGUACCUGAAGUCGGUGACC